UACGGGGGGGGCAAGCGUUGUUCGGAAUUACUGGGCGUAAAGGGCUCGUAGGCGGUCUGUUGCGUCGGCUGUGAAAACCCGGGGCUCAACUCCGGGCCUGCAGCCGAUACGGGCAGACUAGAGUUCGGCAGGGGAGACUGGAAUUCCUGGUGUAGCGGUGAAAUGCGCAGAUAUCGGGAGGAACACCGGUGGUGUAGACGGCUUUCUGGACCGUAACUGACGCUGAGACACGAAAGCGUGGGUAGCAAACAGG
rnacentral:rRNA from 1 species